UGAUCCUGCCGGAGGUUACUGCUAUCGAGGUUGANUAAUCAUGCGAGUCGAAUGUAGCAAUACAUGGCGUACUGCUCAGUAACACGUGGACAACCUACCCUUGGUCGGGGAUAAACCCGGGAAACUGGGUAUAAUACCCGAUAGAUCUCGACUGCUGGAAUGCAUCGGGAUCGAAAGCUCCGGCGCCUAAGGAUGGGUCUGCGGCCUAUCAGGUAGUAGUGGGUGUAGCGUACCUACUAGCCUACGACGGGUACGGGUUGUGAGAGCAAGAGCCCGGAGAUGGAUUCUGAGACAAGAAUCCAGGCCCUACGGGGUGCAGCAGGCGCGAAAACUUUACAAUGCUGGAAACAGCGAUAAGGGGACCUCGAGUGCCAGGUUACAAAUCUGGCUGUCGUGAUGCCUAAAAAGCAUUGCAUAGCAAGGGCCGGGCAAGACCGGUUCCAGCCGCCGCGGUAACACCGGCGGCUCGAGUGGUAACCGUUAUUAUUGGGUCUAAAGGGUCUGUAGCCGGCCGGAUAAGUCUCUUGGGAAAUCCAGCAGCUCAACUGUUGGGCUUUCAGGAGAUACUGUCUGGCUCGAGGCCGGGAGAGGUGAGAGGUACUUCAGGGGUAGGGGUGAAAUCUUGUAAUCCUUGAAGGACCACCAGUGGCGAAGGCGUCUCACCAGAACGGACCUGACGGCAAGGGACGAAAGCUAGGGGCACGAACCGGAUUAGAUACCCGGGUAGUCCUAGCCGUAAACGAUACUCGCUAGGUGUCGGCCACGGUGCGACCGUUGUCGGUGCCGUAGGGAAGCCGUGAAGCGAGCCACCUGGGAAGUACGGCCGCAAGGCUGAAACUUAAAGGAAUUGGCGGGGGAGCACCACAACGGGUGGAGCUUGCGGUUCAAUUGGAGUCAACGCCGGAAA
rnacentral:rRNA from 1 species